rnacentral:rRNA from 1 species
UACGUAGGGUGCAAGCGUUGUCCGGAAUUAUUGGGCGUAAAGAGCUCGUAGGCGGGCUGUCGCGUCUGCUGUGAAAACUCAGGGCUUAACCCUGAGCUUGCAGUGGGUACGGGCAGACUAGAGUGCGGUAGGGGAGACUGGAAUUCCUGGUGUAGCGGUGAAAUGCGCAGAUAUCAGGAGGAACACCGGUGGCGAAGGCGGGUCUCUGGGCCGUAACUGACGCUGAGGAGCGAAAGCAUGGGGAGCGAACAGG